rnacentral:rRNA from 1 species
UACGUAGGGUGCAAGCGUUAAUCGGAAUUACUGGGCGUAAAGCGUGCGCAGGCGGUUGUGCAAGACAGAUGUGAAAUCCCCGGGCUCAACCUGGGAACUGCAUUUGUGACUGCACGGCUAGAGUGUGUCAGAGGGGGGUGGAAUUCCCAGUGUAGCGGUGAAAUGCGUAGAUAUUGGGAGGAACACCAGUGGCGAAGGCGGCUCACUGGACCGGAACUGACGCUGAGGCGCGAAAGCGUGGGGAGCAAACAGG